GGCUCGGUUGCGCGUGGUGCGCGUCUGCAUUUCAUAAUUCUUUCGGUGUUAAAUUGAACAUGCAGAUUUAUUUGCCUGGUUCGAAUCCAGGUCGGGCCU